AGCAGUCGCCGCGGUAAGACGAACCGUGCGAACGUUAUUCGGAAUCACUGGGCUUAAAGCGCGUGUAGGCGGAUCGGCGCGUCCGAUGCUGAAAGCCCCCGGCUCAACCGGGGAAGUGGCUCGGAUACGGCCGGUCUGGAGGAGGGUAGGGGGGCCUGGAACUUCCGGUGGAGCGGUGAAAUGCGUUGAGAUCGGAAGGAACGCCCGUGGCGAAGGCGAGGCCCUGGACCCUUACUGACGCUGAGACGCGAAAGCCAGGGGAGCGAACGGGAUUAGAGACCCCUGUAGUCCCUGUCUCUUAUU
rnacentral:rRNA from 1 species